rnacentral:lncRNA from 1 species
GAGAUGGCCUGGGGCAGAAAGCCACCAGCCUCUCUGCCUGGCCUUGCUGCCAGGGGUCAGGCUGCAGGGGUUGGCCCGGGAGCCCUCAUCAAUCUAACCUGGGGAAGGCAACCAACAGAAGAAUGUGUGUGUGUGAGUGCGUGUGUGCCUGUGCGUGCUUGCGUGUAACUGCUCCAGAGCACUCUGGAGGGUAGGAGCAUGACCAGUGGCUGGUGGGAUUCCAGGGAGCUUCAUGGCUCUGCCACAGCUCCCAGAUCAAGUUCUGGUGCCGUGUAUGGAGCCCAGAGCCAUGCACAGCGUACAGUCCGCCCUUGAGCUCAGCUCCCAGCCUCCAGUCACAUCAUCGUGAACAGCACCCAUGGAACGCUCUCGUCCUGCAGAGCUGGAAAUCUGUGCCGUGCAACAAUGACUUUCCCGCCUGUCUUUCUCCCAAGUCCUGGCGACCAGCACUGCCCUUCACCAUCAUGACAGUGACCAGCAGGGUCACGAGUGAGCGCCUCACAGGAAUGGGGUCCAGCGCCACUCCUCCUUCCAUGCCUGGCUUAUUUUACUUAGCCUAGGCCUGGUUACCCAUGAUACAGCCUGUGUCAGAAUCCCCUUCCCUUUUCAAGGCUCUGUGUUUGGUUCAUCAUUGGUUGGUUAUCUUACUAAGAAAACGGAAUAUUUACCUCCCAGCUGUAAAGAUCUCCUCUCUGAUAGGUAUUGUUUUUUGUGUUUGUCUUUGGAAAGUAUUAAAGAAUGAUUUUUGAAAGUCUCUUUUUCUCCUGCCAAAGUCCUGGGUCACAGUGGGAAGAAAUGUGAGUGAAUUCUCUGUCUUCAGAGAUUCAAAAAUCACAGAAAUGGUGUACUUGGUUUACAU